rnacentral:lncRNA from 1 species
GGAGAACCACUGCUCCCUUCAAAGCUGUCAGACAGGGACAUUUAAGUCUGCAGAGGUUACUGCUGUCUUUUUGUUUGUCUGUGCCCUGCCCCCAGAGGUGGAGCCUACAGAGGCAGGCAGGCCUCCUUGAGCUGUGGUGGGCUCCACCCAGUUCGAGCUUCCCAGCUGCUUUGUUUACCUAAUCAAGCCUGGGCAAUGGCGGGCGCCCCUCCCCCAGCCUGGCUGCCGCCUUGCAGUUUGAUCUCAGACUGCUGUGCUAGCAAUCAGGGAGACUCCGUGGGCGUAGGACCCUCCGAGCCAGGUGUUACCGUGAGAAAAUAUCUUGAACUUCUACUCUGUAUCUCAUCAGAUGAAGGAUAAAUAAACGUGUCUCUCAAAGCCAUCUUUAUUCGAAGAAGUUUCCUUCGCACUACAAAUCUAAAGUUCUUUCUACGAACAUCUUGUAUGAAUUGAUACCUGAUUAAGCGCAUCUAACUACGUAUUUGUAUAUGUGUCUCAUUGCCUCAUAAAAAUCCAGAAGUCUUUAAAUGUGAUUCAAAACCAACAAAAAAUCAAAUAAACAUUUAAAUAAAUUAGUGAGAAAAUGUGAUGUAGCAAGUAAUAAAGAGUAAAAUGUGAACUGCCUAUCUAAAACAGGAUAAAACUGAAAAUGUAUUUAAGAAAAUAAUAUUUUAACAGCUUUUAAGGGAUAGAAAUUUUCUGCUAACUAGAG